UUUUUUUCUCCUUAAGAAAGAGAUGAUCCUUGAAAAUGACUCCGUAUUUCUUCCUGCACAUCUUCGUUUUUCUGUCUCUGGAGUCCCGACAGAGUGGCAAAGCACUUUACAGUGGUAACUGAGAAAUCUGGAUUCCUUGCUUCAGCGACCCUUAGUUUGUACAGAUCGGGUGAUGUUUUAUAAUUCCCGGGGAGGCAGUGCAUUUUUAAUGUUUUCUGAAGAUUUUUAGGAGAGGGGCAAGGAGUGCAGUCCUGUUCUGGAAUUCUUUUCUACUUUCUCUUUGUGAAAAUCCAAGUAAUAUUUCAGUUCAAACUUGAUCCUGAGCCCAGGCCCACAGCCACCUCUGGGAUGGGAGCUGGAUCUACAUCCCAAGUGACAAGGUCCUCGCAACAACAUCUGCUUCCCAGAAGGCUGUGAUUCUGCUAUGUCAGAUAACAGGGUCGGGCUCCUGCUCUGUUUUUGGCUUGAAGACUGGGAUCCCAAAGGGACUACAGGCAGGGAAUAUUGAGAUGGCAGCCUGGGUAUUCCAUCUUGAGAUGCUCAAGACCACCAACCUCUCUUCUCCUGCCUGGAAAAGUAAGCCUUUGUGAAGAACUGACUUACUGUGUACAGUUGUGAUUGUGACUGUUGUUAAAUAAACCUCCAGACUUUGUCUAAUGUGUUCUCUGGCUUGUUCUUGUCCCACGCAUUUUCCAUCCCAUCAUUCCCCAUGUAUUCCACAAGUGUCUGCUUAGUACCCAGGAUACUGAACACAUUCCCAACAGCCAUCGUUCUAGAGAAAAAGGCAGACAUCCGACAGCUAACCAAGAUGAUUCUAGAUGUGAACAGGGCUAUGAAGGAUAUUAAAAAAAAAAAAUGUUUGAGAGACUGGAGCAGGGGGUGAACAUUAGGUAGGCCAGUCCGAGAGUGCCUCUCUGUGAGAGCUGGAAGACGUGAGGGAGUGUAAGCCAAGAGGCAGUUUGGGAGAGAGAGUUCCAGGCAAAGGGAACCGCUAGUGCAAAGGCCCUGAGGCAGGAAGUAGUUGCCAUGUUGGAGGCACAGAAGGAGGUGAGCGCCCACGGUUAGAUAGGGUGGCCCACAAAGGGUCCUGAAGACUACACCCAGGAAUGGAAAAUAUCUGCAGGGCAGAACAACAUGAAAUAAUUCAUUUCUGAAACUCACCCAUCAGCCACACGUUUCUAUCAACCAAAACAUUGGGAGGCUUUGUAUAUUAGAUACGUGUCAUAUUAUGCGGUAGAAAGAGCACUGGCUGGCCUGGCUCUGCAACGGACUAUGAGGUCUUGGGAAAAUUUGCCCCCUAACUAGGCCUCAGUUUUCUGCCGUAAAAUGGGAAGUUUUUAGAUGAUGCUUCCAGCUCCACCUGUGGUUCUGUGGUUGAGACUUGGUGUGGGACUGCCCGUGACCGUGAGCGGAAGCUGCCUACUGGCGCUGUCACUCAGAGCCCACCAGAGGCCGCUGUGGACCAUGGCUUGGAGAAGGCUGAUGAACAGAAGGGGGGAAUCCGUUCACCCACCACAGUGGCAGGUUUUGAGCACUGGAACCAGGUGGAUAUUAAGUUAAUUUUCUUCUAUAAUCUUAAUGGCUUCUCUAAAAAGGAUUAAAUUAUUUUACUAGGAAAAAAAGGAAGCAAGGGAUAAACGAUCGAUGUGUAGGGGCAGCAUGUGCAAAGACCCUGUGCAGGGGAAGCAUGACAGGUAUGAAGGUCAGUGGGAUGGGAGCAGAAUGAGAGAGAAAGAAGAGAAAAGGAGGGGGUGAGCAGAAGCCAGAAUCUGCAGGGCCUUGUGGGCCGUGUUAAGGAGUCUGAGCUUUAUUUUUAAAGCAGUGGGAACCAUUAGAGGGUUUUUAACUGGGCAUAGUGAGAGCAUCAGAUGUGCCUUUGGCCAAUGUUUAUAGCCAGGAAUGACUUGCUCAAGGUGCUGGGCACACAGUAGACACCUAGGGCAUACAGAAUGAAAGAUUCAGGGCAGCCAGCCCUCCGAUGCCUUCUCAAAAUCACGAUCACUGGGAGGAAAGGUCCUUCUUCCCUGGAGCAGGUGGGAAGACAGGGGAAAGUUACAUUUCUCAUCCAUUUUAGCUCCUUGUUCUCCCAAGCCCACAAGAGUAGAAUCCAAGGUAUCUGAAGUACCUAGAUGGACAAAGAGUGUGCACUCUGGCGGUGGCGGUGGGGCACAUUCAUUCACAAACUGAUUCGGAGAACUUGGCAAUUGGUCCAAAGUUUUGGAUUCUCUUUUUCUCUAUAUUUAGUUGAGAUUGGGGCUUUGGGGCUCCUGGCACUGAGUAAAGAGGCACAAGAAGCAUUUGAAGAAGAGACAAAUGGGUGAAUAAUAUAGUCUCAGCUUAUACUUUAGGCUUUUUUUCCAUCCACUCACAGCCCAUAGAAUUUUUGAGAGAGAGUGCUCCUACCUCUGUGAUAUGCUAUUUACUCUUGAGAAAGUCCCUUCCUCUCCCCAGGCUUCAGAUUGUCCAUGUGAGGAUGGGAAGAACAGGAGCAAAUUAGAUAAUCAUCAGCCUGGACUGGGAUAGUUCUACACAUCUUGCAUCUGGUAUUUUGCAGUGGCCCUGAUCUUGUCAAGGCCAUUUGACAAGAGCUUGUCAUUAUUUUCCAAGCUCAGCUAGGGGAUGGUGGUGAGACCCCCCUAUCAGUUCUGUUGUUGGUGUCUCCCACCCUACGGUUUCUGGGCUAUUGCUGAAGUGGGUCCAGGAUUCAGUAUCCAGAGCUUCCUUCCUGCAGCUGCUCACAGCUCUGUCAACCUCUGGCCGCAGGCAGCUGUCUCUUCUUUGUUCACCCUCAAUGCCUGGGCUGCCACUGCCUGGCUUGGCAAUACCUGGCAUCCCUGGUGGUGUCCCAGGGCAGCCUAUAGUUCCUGCCUUCUGGUCUGACUGCUUCAGGGCUGGCAGGGUGACGGGCCCUGGUGUGCUCACGCACACUCACAGACACAAUGCCAUAGAAACAAAGAAAAACCUGGUGAACCCUCAGAAAAGCAGGUUUCUUAGCAACUUCGUAGCUUUUGUUCAUGAGCCGCUUGGAAUUGAAGUAGCAUCUGAUCUCCUGCCAGCUCCUAACCGGGCAUGGGAAGAAGGGGAUGAUGGGCCUGCCUUUGCUGGAGCUCUGUGCUAAGCUCCCCCACCCUUGGCCUCUCAGCCUGGGAAGCUGAGGCCUGAAUCCUGGCGUUAUCCACAUUCUGAGAAAAGUCCUUGCUACAGUUUCUUCCCAGCUACAGCUGCAGGAUCCCAGGGCUUGGUCAUUCAGACAACAAAUGCAUACCAAAUAUAUCCUGUGGGCCCAUGGCGGUCCAUGCUCUGUGCCCCCAGCAGUUGGCACCAGUUCUGUCCUCAGCCCUGGAAAUACAGAGGUGAAUAAGGAAAAGCCUCUUUAGCCAAAUGAUGAGAACAAACAAGGACCCAGAGAUGCCUGAGUACUUGUAACUUUACCCCAGGCCUCUCGUAUAAAACCAAAACUUCUUAGCCAAGUCCUAAGGAUCCUUCCAGGCUGGCCCCUGCCUGCUUCUCCAUCACUUCCCCAACAGGGCUCAGGUGCCCACAGGUCAAGUCGUUCUCACCUCCAGACCCCUGCUGGUCACUCCACUUGGAGUGUUCUCCAUCCACCUGGCAGCUUCUUUCCAUCCUUUAGGUCCUCGCUUAGCUGUCCCCUCCCUGAGGAAGCCCACUCUCAAGAGACCUCCCACACACAUCACUCUCUGUCAAGCUGAGUUCCUUUGUAGCCUCCUUCCUGACACUUGAUAUACAGUCCAUUCCCCUUGUUCACAGUAGUUAAGUUCUAUCGAGUCAUCUCGAACACUGAAUUAGCAAAUACUGAACCACACCCCUAAGGCAAGUAGAGGGGUAUGCUCCUGCAAGCUUCUGCUCACAACAUUUUCAUCAGGCGAUCAAUCAUAACCUGUUUUAUGUGCAUCUCUGUUUAAAGAUACCUUAUUUAAUAUAGGUCGUUAAUUUGUCAAAUUAGAACUCAGAGCCAACACUAUAACUAAUGCCUCAAUGAAACUUACCUAAUGAAUAUAUGUUCUCCGUCUUAGAGCUUAGGAACUCUAUAUAACACCUCCGCACCAUCCUUGGGGGAUAUUUUCAACCACAAUCACCAACAUAAAGUACAAAAAUAUGUAAAACCUGACACUACAUAGCCCGCGGAAAGACUGCUUGUUUAAAGCAUGAGCGCUCAAUCGACCUCAUCUGGGAACAUGCUUGUUGGGUGACAAAUUUUUCAGCGCUUUACACAUGUACGUGUCUGCGGGUGACCUCAAAGGUGUUGCAAGUAUUGGUUUCAAGAGUACAAAUAUAUCUUGGUGAGUAGGCAUAUUUGCAAAUACAAAGUCAAUAUAAUAAUGAAGAGUAUUUUAAUUAUUCUAUUCAUUUGUUUA
rnacentral:lncRNA from 1 species